GAUGAACGCUGGCGGCGUGCUUAACACAUGCAAGUCGAACGGUGAAGCAGGAGCUUGCUCUUGUGGAUCAGUGGCGAACGGGUGAGUAACACGUGAGCAACCUGCCCCUGACUCUGGGAUAAGCGCUGGAAACGGCGUCUAAUACUGGAUAUGUGAUGUGACCGCAUGGUCUGCAUCUGGAAAGAAUUUCGGUUGGGGAUGGGCUCGCGGCCUAUCAGCUUGUUGGUGAGGUAAUGGGUCACCAAGGCGUCGACGGGUAGCCGGCCUGAGAGGGUGACCGGCCACACUGGGACUGAGACACGGCCCAGACUCCUACGGGAGGCAGCAGUGGGGAAUAUUGCACAAUGGGCGGAAGCCUGAUACAGCAACGCCGCGUGAGGGAUGACGGCCUUCGGGUUGUAAACCUCUUUUAGCUGGGAAGAAGCGAAAGUGACGGUACCUGCAGAAAAAGCACCGGCUAACCACGUGCCAGCCGCCGCAGUAA
rnacentral:rRNA from 1 species